UACAGAGGUCCCAAGCGUUGUUCGGAUUCACUGGGCGUAAAGGGUGCGUAGGUGGUGAGGUAAGUCGGAUGUGAAAGCUCGGAGCUCAACUCCGAAAUGGCAUUGGAAACUACCUUGCUCGAGGGUUGGAGGGGGGACUGGAAUACUUGGUGUAGCAGUGAAAUGCGUAGAUAUCGAGAGGAACACCUGCGGCGAAGGCGGGUAGCUGGGCCGACACUGACGCUGAUGCGCGAAAGCCAGGGAGCCGAAGCGGGUUAAGAAAC
rnacentral:rRNA from 1 species